UAGGGAAUCUUCCACAAUGGACGCAAGUCUGAUGGAGCAACGCCGCGUGAGUGAAGAAGGGUUUCGGCUCGUAAAGCUCUGUUGUUAAAGAAGAACGUGGGUAAGAGUAACUGUUUACCCAGUGACGGUAUUUAACCAGAAAGCCACGGCUAAAUACGCGCCAG
rnacentral:rRNA from 1 species